AGGAAGGAAGGAAAGGAGAGACCAUUUACUGAGCAUCCAACAUAUACUAGGGCAUGGGGACUCAAAAAUGAUAAAUAAAUUGUCCAUGCCUUUAACAAACUCAGUAAAUAAAUGUUAUGAUCUGAAUGUUUGUGACCCCCCUUCCCAAAUUUAUAUGUUAAAACCAUUAGGUAGUAGUAUAUGUCAAUACCAAUGUGGUGGUAUUAAGAAGUGGGGCCUCUAGGAGGUGAUUAGAUAAUGAGGGUUCUGCCCUCAUGAAUGGGAUUAGUGCCCUUAUAAAAGAGGCCAAAAGGAGCUUGUUUGUCCUUCCCAACGUGAAGACACAGCUAGAAGGCGCCAGCUCUGAGGAACAAGCCCUCACCAGACAGCAAAUCUACCAGCACCCUGAUGUUGGACUUCUCGGCCUCCAGAACUGUGUUGGUCCCCAAGGUGCUCCUUAAUAGGCAUCCUGCGCCUUAAACACUGCCUCAGAGUCUGCUUCCCAGGAAGUCCAAACAGAUUGAGAAUCUGAGGAUGAAGAAUGAAGCUCGGAGCCUUGCAGCGGGAAGAACUUUAUCUGAACAAGAGGCAGAAUUUCCCAGUGGUCCCCUCUUUCUGGAAGCCUUGUCC
rnacentral:lncRNA from 1 species